AUCAAACCCAACCACACUCAUUUCAGUUCCCCCAAAACAUAUAUCCUAGAGUAGACAAAUACAACACAACCCCACAAAUAAAUAACUAAAGUCAAUCCAGUUCUUCUCCUUGCUUCCCAAUUAAUCACUCAAGUACUAGCUGCCAAAUCCUUCAUAAUUCCUUCUAUACAUUCAUCGCCCAAAGCUAAUUUAUGGACACUACAGCUGAUCAGAAUCUAGAGAAUUGAAAAUAGAACCCUAGGAUUGAGAAAGAAAGUGAAGCGGCG
rnacentral:misc_RNA from 1 species